AGGAUUGUUAACACUUCAGGAUUCAUUUUCCACAAUAACGCCCCUGCCCAGAGAGCUCUGGGAAUUACAGUGGACAAUGGGGAGGCAUUCUUAGGAAGGUCUAAUGAUGGAAUAAAAAGAAAAAUAUUUAUUGCUUUUGACAGUUCCACAAGGGGCAAAAAUCCUUGUCGUGGCUAAAGUUUCCCUAGCUGUUGGAGGAAGGCAGCUCACGGGGACUCAAACAGUUCCACUUCCUUUGUUAGGAGGCUGAGUACCAGGGCCAAGCUGGGAAAUUAAAGAUUAAGUUCAUUAAGACGAUGCUCCGUGCUGGUUAAGAAAUAUGAAAACAGCCAAAGAAGAAAUAAAGCAAAAGAGAAAAACAAGGGAAAAAGAGGAAAGCUGGCUUUGUCCCAGCUCCAAAGGCAGAUCCUGAUUGGUCCAGAUGGUCGUCAUGGUCCC